ensembl:misc_RNA Metazoa_SRP Metazoan signal recognition particle RNA
GCUAGGUAUGGUGGUGUGCACCUGUAGUCCCAGCUAUUUGGGAGGCUGAGGUGGGAGGAUCACUUGAGCCCAGGAGGUCAGGGCUGCAGUGAGCCACAAUCGCAUCACUGCACUCCAGCCUGGGCAACAGAGUGAGACCCGGUCUCAA